rnacentral:lncRNA from 1 species
AUGGGGCCCUGCGGGUUAAGCCCAGGGGGCGGAGCCCUGGGGCCAUCUUGGCUGUGGGCGGAAGUUUCCCUCGGAGAGCCGGUGUGGGGAAGUUGUUGCCGCCCCCCGGCCAGGCGGUGCAAUCCCGAUUUGGGGAUAGGGAAGAGAAGCAUGGGAACUGGCGGCCCCCCAACAAACGAGGGCAGUUGGCUCCGGGCACGGCACACCCGGGUAUCCGCCGGAUCCGCUUCCGCCCCAGCGUCUCGGCCUCCCGCUGCCUCUAGUAACCCCUGGCGCCCGCCGGCGGCGCACCUCGCGCCAAUUCUCGAACGGCUCCGCGCCGAACGCGGCGCGGCGCGAGGCUGCGGAGCUGGUGGGGCCAGACCCUGCGCAUUUAACGUAGCGAACGACGCCCGCGCAGGCGCAGGCGCAGGAGGGGGCGGAGCAGCGGGAGCCGGGGAGCUGGGGAGCCGGAGCCCCGGGUCCCAGCGACCAGAGCCGGCUCCCCCAGCGGCGUCCGGAGGACCCGGCGUCGGCCUCCUCCCGCCCCCCGAGGCUGGAGAGUGGAUGCAGUGGGGAGUGGGGUGGGGGCAGCGUCCGAAAUUCCGAGGACAGAAAGCAGAGGCCAUCCCCAAUCCGGAUUAUUGGAGGGGAGAGAGACCCCCAGUUUGGGGAGGGGGAGAGCUGGGCGUUGAGCGUCCCCCGCAGCGUCCGCUGCCUUCAGCCGAAGGGUAUCUGCCGGCUCUCCCCCUCCAGCCGGGACGACUCGAACGACCAAGGCCAGGGACCCCUGUCCUUCAGCCUCUGCACCCUCUCACCCUGGCGCUGGGGCUGGCCCAGGGUGGAGACCCUGCCCAGUUCCCUCCUCUGUCCUCCAGAGGGUCUGUCCUUCCACGCCUCAGAGUGAGGGGCCCAGGCCUCAGGCUGCCUGUGCCCCGCUGCAAGGGCAGGGUCCCUCUGUUGAGGGGGAAGGGCCUGGCCAGCUGCAGCUUCUUUCCUCCUGAGCUCCCCAUCGCUGUCGCUGCACCCUGCAACUCCCACCCCUCCAUAUUUAUUUCCCUGGCCCCCUGCCAGCCCCUCCAUCUCUUUCUCUGGGAUUCAGGCCUCCCUUCCUGA